rnacentral:rRNA from 1 species
AGUGAACGCUGGCGGUAGGCCUAACACAUGCAAGUCGAACGGCAGCACCGUAAGAGCUUGCUCUUACGGGUGGCGAGUGGCGGACGGGUGAGGAAUACAUCGGAAUCUACUUUUUCGUGGGGGAUAACGUAGGGAAACUUACGCUAAUACCGCAUACGACCUACGGGUGAAAGCAGGGGAUCUUCGGACCUUGCGCGAUUGAAUGAGCCGAUGUCGGAUUAGCUCGUUGGCGGGGUAAAGCCCACCAAGGCGACCAUCCGUAGCUGGUCUGAGAGGAUGAUCAGCCAGACUGGAACUGAGAAACGGUACAGACUCCUACGGGAGGCAGCAGUGGGGAAUAUUGGACAAUGGGCGCAAGCCUGAUCCAGCCAUACCGCGUGGGUGAAGAAGGCCUUCGGGUUGUAAAGCCCUUUUGUUGGGAAAGAAAAGCAGCAGGUUAAUACCCCGCUGUUCUGACGGUACCCAAAGAAUAAGCACCGGCUAACUUCGUG